AACGUAGGUACCGAGCGUUAUCCGGAUUUACUGGGCGUAAAGCGUGUUCAGGCGGCCUAGCAAGUCGGGCAUGAAAUCUCUCGGCUCAACCGGGAGAGGCUGUCCGAUACUGCUGGGCUUGAGGACGGUAGAGGGUGGUGGAAUUCCGCGUGUAGUGGUGAAAUGUGUAGAUAUGCGGAGGAACACCAGUGGCGAAGGCGGCCACCUGGACCGUCCCUGACGCUCAAACACGAAAGCUAGGGUAGCGAACGGG
rnacentral:rRNA from 1 species